UCUUCCUCCUCAACUCACUCGAUCGUGUUUUCUGUGUGAGAACAACUUCAUUUACAAGAGCGCGUUACGUGUUUCUUGUUCGUUUGUUUUGGAUUUUUUUUUUCCAUUUUCCAUUGUUUCUUCUUCCUCUCUUACAAGCAUUCCUUUCAGAGGAACGCUCUUUUCUCGUUCUUGUUCUUGUUCUGUUUCCGGCGAGGAGACUUGACGCAGCUUCCUAAGGGCUAAUCGAAUCUGUUCGGUGCUCAACAAUGACGAUCACCCCGAAGAUUUCCGUUAACGAUGGCAACUUGGUGGUUCACGGAAAGACCAUACUCACUGGAGUGCCUGACAACAUUGUGCUGACCCCAGGAUCAGGCCCUGGACUUGUUGCUGGUGCAUUCAUUGGUGCCACUGCCUCACACAGUAAAAGUCUGCACGUUUUCCCCAUCGGUGUCUUAGAGGGUCAGCGCUUCCUGUGUUGUUUCCGUUUCAAGUUAUGGUGGAUGACUCAGAGAAUGGGAACGUCUGGGAAAGACAUCCCUUUUGAGACCCAGUUCCUGCUCAUGGAGAGCAAGGGUGCUGAUGGGGAGGAUCCUGAUAAUUCUUCAACCAUCUACACUGUCUUCCUUCCUCUCCUUGAAGGCCAGUUCCGUGCUGCGCUGCAGGGCAAUGACAAGAACGAGAUGGAGAUUUGCCUCGAGAGUGGAGAUAAUACUGUUGAGACCAACCAAGGACUCUCUCUGGUCUAUAUGCAUGCUGGGACAAAUCCCUUUGAAGUUAUCAAUCAAGCAGUGAAGGCUGUUGAAAAUCAUAUGCAAACAUUUCUACACAGAGAGAAGAAGAAGUUACCUUCCUUCCUCGACUGGUUUGGUUGGUGUACUUGGGAUGCCUUUUACACCGAUGUCACUGCUGAGGGUGUUGACGAGGGUCUCAGAAGCCUAUCAGGCGGAGGGGCACCUCCAAAAUUUUUAAUCAUAGAUGAUGGUUGGCAACAGAUAGAGAGCAAACCAAAGGAUGCUACUGAUUGUGUUGUACAAGAAGGAGCACAGUUUGCGAGUAGGCUGUCUGGAAUAAAAGAGAACCAAAAGUUUCAGAAAAAUGGGAAAAACAAUGUACAGGUCCCUGGCCUGAAGGUGGUUGUUGAUGAUGCCAAGCAACAACACAAUGUGAAAUUUGUGUAUGCUUGGCAUGCUUUAGCUGGUUAUUGGGGUGGAGUGAAACCAGCAGGUCCAGGCAUGGAGCACUACGAGUCUGCUUUGGCAUACCCGGUCCAGUCACCGGGUAUGUUGGGCAACCAACCAGACAUAGUUGUAGACAGUCUGGCUGUUCACGGCAUUGGCCUUGUGCAUCCAAAAAAAGUCUUUAAUUUCUAUAAUGAGCUUCAUUCCUACUUGGCUUCAUGUGGAGUGGAUGGUGUAAAGGUUGAUGUGCAGAACAUUAUCGAGACCCUCGGUGCUGGUUAUGGUGGCAGGGUUCAACUCACUCGUAGCUACCAUCAGGCCCUCGAAGCUUCUAUUGCUCGAAACUUUACCGACAAUGGAUGUAUUUCCUGUAUGUGCCACAACACUGAUGGUCUUUACAGUGCCAAACAGACUGCGGUCGUGAGAGCUUCUGAUGACUAUUACCCUCACGAUCCUGCCUCCCACACCAUUCAUAUUUCCUCUGUGGCUUACAAUUCUCUUUUCCUUGGAGAAUUCAUGCAGCCUGACUGGGAUAUGUUCCAUAGUUUACAUCCCACAGCUGAGUAUCAUGGAGCUGCUCGUGCAAUCGGUGGAGGUGCAAUCUAUGUCAGUGACAAGCCAGGCAACCACAACUUUGAGCUGUUGAGGAAGCUAGUUCUUCCCGACGGAUCAGUUCUUCGUGCCCAGUUACCUGGACGACCGACGAGUGAUUCUCUGUUCAACGAUCCAGCUCGAGAUGGAACCAGUCUACUCAAAAUUUGGAAUAUGAACAAGUGCUCUGGUGUUGUUGGAGUAUUCAAUUGCCAAGGAGCUGGCUGGUGCAGGAUCACAAAGAAGACUCGCGUUCACGACGAGUCUCCUGGUACCCUCACCGCCUCUGUCCGUGCAGCCGAUGUCGAUGCUAUUUCGCAAAUUGCUGGUGCCGAUUGGAAGGGAGAUACUAUCGUUUACGCCUAUCGAUCAGGGGAGGUAGUUCGAUUGCCAAAAGGCGCCUCGGUUCCAGUUACACUCAAAGUAUUGGAAUAUGAUCUUUUCCAUAUUUCCCCUCUAAAGGACAUCACCUCGAACAUCUCUUUCGCCCCAAUUGGGCUGCUCGACAUGUUCAACACUGGUGGUGCUAUUGAGCAAGUCGAUGUCCAAUUGGUCGAACCAACGCCCGAGUUCAAUGGUGAAGUUGCCUCCGAGCUGACAGGUUCUCUCCCCAACGAUCGACGCCCGACAGCUACAAUUACUCUAAAAGCCCGGGGAUGUGGAAGGUUUGGCAUUUACUCAUCUCAACGACCUUUGAAAUGUAGUGUAGACAAGGCCAAUUCUGACUUUUCCUACGAUGAGGCAACAGGGUUAGUCACAUUUACGCUCCCUAUCCCGACAGUAGAAAUGUAUAGAUGGAGCAUUGAAAUUCAGGUUUAAGCAUGAACGUUGUAUGCUUAAUUUGCAUAGAUUACAUGUUGCCAUAUCAUUUAAUGGCAUAGAGAGAGAGAGAGAGGAGAGAGAGGAGGAAAUUGGUAUGUCAAUGUAGUGAUAUAUUAUCAUCAUAUGUUAUAUAUGAUGUAAUGAUUGAAGGGUGUGAUGUGUCGAGUGUAUUUUCAUUAUUGUAAUAAUAAUAAUUAUUGCUCGUUGGCCUUUUA